rnacentral:rRNA from 1 species
CGGGUGCUAACGUCCGUCGUGAAGAGGGAAACAACCCAGACCGCCAGCUAAGGUCCCAAAGUCAUGGUUAAGUGGGAAACGAUGUGGGAAGGCCCAGACAGCCAGGAUGUUGGCUUAGAAGCAGCCAUCAUUUAAAGAAAGCGUAAUAGCUCACUGGUCGAGUCGGCCUGCGCGGAAGAUGUAACGGGGCUAAACCAUGCACCGAAGCUGCGGCAGCGAACGUAUCACCCAAGACAACUUUACGGAGUUGACGAUUGACGGAGCGAAGCGACGUCAAAGCGUUCAUUAAAGUCGAGUUGGCUUAGGGAUACGUUCGUUGGGUAGGGGAGCGUUCUGUAAGCCUGUGAAGGUGUGUCGUGAGGCAUGCUGGAGGUAUCAGAAGUGCGAAUGCUGACAUAAGUAACGAUAAAGCGGGUGAAAAGCCCGCUCGCCGGAAGACCAAGGGUUCCUGUCCAACGUUAAUCGGGGCAGGGUGAGUCGACCCCUAAGGCGAGGCCGAAAGGCGUAGUCGAUGGGAAACGGGUUAAUAUUCCCGUACUUGGUGUUACUGCGAAGGGGGGACGGAGAAGGCUAUGUUGGCCGGGCGACGGUUGUCCCGGUUUAAGCGUGUAGGUGUGUGUUCCAGGUAAAUCCGGUUCACUUUAACACUGAGGCGUGACGACGAGGCACUACGGUGCUGAAGCAACAAAUGCCCUGCUUCCAGGAAAAGCCUCUAAGCAUCAGGUAACACGAAAUCGUACCCCAAACCGACACAGGUGGUCAGGUAGAGAAUACCAAGGCGCUUGAGAGAACUCGGGUGAAGGAACUAGGCAAAAUGGUGCCGUAACUUCGGGAGAAGGCACGCUGACACGUAGGUGAAGUGAUUUACUCAUGGAGCUGAAGUCAGUCGAAGAUACCAGCUGGCUGCAACUGUUUAUUAAAAACACAGCACUGUGCAAACACGAAAGUGGACGUAUACGGUGUGACGCCUGCCCGGUGCCGGAAGGUUAAUUGAUGGGGUCAGCGCAAGCGAAGCUCCUGAUCGAAGCCCCGGUAAACGGCGGCCGUAACUAUAACGGUCCUAAGGUAGCGAAAUUCCUUGUCGGGUAAGUUCCGACCUGCACGAAUGGCGUAAUGAUGGCCAGGCUGUCUCCACCCGAGACUCAGUGAAAUUGAACUCGCUGUGAAGAUGCAGUGUACCCGCGGCAAGACGGAAAGACCCCGUGAACCUUUACUAUAGCUUGACACUGAACAUUGAGCCUUGAUGUGUAGGAUAGGUGGGAGGCUUUGAAGUGUGGACGCCAGUCUGCAUGGAGCCGACCUUGAAAUACCACCCUUUAAUGUUUGAUGUUCUAACGUGGACCCGUAAUCCGGGUUGCGGACAGUGUCUGGUGGGUAGUUUGACUGGGGCGGUCUCCUCCUAAAGAGUAACGGAGGAGCACGAAGGUUGGCUAAUCCUGGUCGGACAUCAGGAGGUUAGUGCAAUGGCAUAAGCCAGCUUGACUGCGAGCGUGACGGCGCGAGCAGGUGCGAAAGCAGGUCAUAGUGAUCCGGUGGUUCUGAAUGGAAGGGCCAUCGCUCAACGGAUAAAAGGUACUCCGGGGAUAACAGGCUGAUACCGCCCAAGAGUUCAUAUCGACGGCGGUGUUUGGCACCUCGAUGUCGGCUCAUCACAUCCUGGGGCUGAAGUAGGUCCCAAGGGUAUGGCUGUUCGCCAUUUAAAGUGGUACGCGAGCUGGGUUUAGAACGUCGUGAGACAGUUCGGUCCCUAUCUGCCGUGGGCGCUGGAGAACUGAGGGGGGCUGCUCCUAGUACGAGAGGACCGGAGUGGACGCAUCACUGGUGUUCGGGUUGUCAUGCCAAUGGCACUGCCCGGUAGCUAAAUGCGGAAGAGAUAAGUGCUGAAAGCAUCUAAGCACGAAACUUGCCCCGAGAUGAGUUCUCCCUGAGACUUAGAGUCUCCUGAAGGAACGUUGAAGACGACGACGUUGAUAGGCCGGGUGUGUAAGCGCAGCGAUGCGUUGAGCUAACCGGUACUAAUGAACCGUGAGGCUUAACCUUACAAC